rnacentral:tRNA from 1 species
GCAGCCGUGGCCUACUGGUUAGGGCUUCGGGCUUGAAACCAGAGGGUUGCCGGUUCGUCCCCAAACAGUAGGA